GAUGAACGCUAGCGAUAGGCUUAACACAUGCAAGUCGAGGGGCAGCACAAGGUAGCUUGCUAUCUGGGUGGCGACCGGCGCACGGGUGCGUAACGCGUAUGCAACUUGCCCUACACAGGAGGAUAACCCGUCGAAAGACGGACUAAUACUGCGUAUGCUCACAACUUGGCAUCAAGUGGUGAGGAAAGAAAUUCGGUAUAGGAUAGGCAUGCGUCCCAUUAGCUUGUUGGUGAGGUAACGGCUCACCAAGGCAACGAUGGGUAGGGGAACUGAGAGGUUUAUCCCCCACACUGGUACUGAGACACGGACCAGACUCCUACGGGAGGCAGCAGUGAGGAAUAUUGGUCAAUGGGCGCGAGCCUGAACCAGCCAAGUCGCGUGAAGGAUGACUGUCUUAUGGAUUGUAAACUUCUUUUAUACGGGAAUAACAAGAGUCACGUGUGACUCCCUGCAUGUACCGUAUGAAUAAGCAUCGGCUAACUCCGUG
rnacentral:rRNA from 1 species